AUUGAACGCUGGCGGAAUGCUUUACACAUGCAAGUCGAACGGCAGCACGGACUUCGGUCUGGUGGCGAGUGGCGAACGGGUGAGUAAUGUAUCGGAACGUGCCCAGUCGUGGGGGAUAACGUAGUGAAAAUUACGCUAAUACCGCAUACGAUCUAUGGAUGAAAGCGGGGGAUCGCAAGACCUCGCGCGAUUGGAGCGGCCGAUAUCAGAUUAGGUAGUUGGUGGGGUAAAGGCCCACCAAGCCAACGAUCUGUAGCUGGUCUGAGAGGACGACCCGCCAAACUGGAACUGAGACACGGUCCAGACUCCUACGGGAGGCAGCAGUGGGGAAUUUUGGACAAUGGGCGAAAGCCUGAUCCAGCCAUUCCGCGUGCAGGAUGAAGGCCCUCGGGUUGCAAACUGCUUUUGUACAGAACGAAAAGGUUUCUACUAAUACUAGGAGCUCAUGACGGUACUGUAAGAAUAAGCACCGGCUAACUACGUGCCAGCCGCCGCCGUAA
rnacentral:rRNA from 1 species